GUUAAGCGACUAAGCGUACACGGUGGAUGCCCUGGCAGUCAGAGGCGAUGAAGGACGUGCUAAUCUGCGAUAAGCGUCGGUAAGGUGAUAUGAACCGUUAUAACCGGCGAUUUCCGAAUGGGGAAACCCAGUGUGAUUCGUCACACUAUCAUUAACUGAAUCCAUAGGUUAAUGAGGCGAACCGGGGGAACUGAAACAUCUAAGUACCCCGAGGAAAAGAAAUCAACCGAGAUUCCCCCAGUAGCGGCGAGCGAACGGGGAGCAGCCCAGAGCCUGAAUCAGUGUGUGUGUUAGUGGAAGCGUCUGGAAAGGCGCGCGAUACAGGGUGACAGCCCCGUACACAAAAAUGCACAUACUGUGAGCUCGAUGAGUAGGGCGGGACACGUGGUAUCCUGUCUGAAUAUGGGGGGACCAUCCUCCAAGGCUAAAUACUCCUGACUGACCGAUAGUGAACCAGUACCGUGAGGGAAAGGCGAAAAGAACCCCGGCGAGGGGAGUGAAAAAGAACCUGAAACCGUGUACGUACAAGCAGUGGGAGCACGCUUAGGCGUGUGACUGCGUACCUUUUGUAUAAUGGGUCAGCGACUUAUAUUCUGUAGCAAGGUUAACCGAAUAGGGGAGCCGAAGGGAAACCGAGUCUUAACUGGGCGUUAAGUUGCAGGGUAUAGACCCGAAACCCGGUGAUCUAGCCAUGGGCAGGUUGAAGGUUGGGUAACACUAACUGGAGGACCGAACCGACUAAUGUUGAAAAAUUAGCGGAUGACUUGUGGCUGGGGGUGAAAGGCCAAUCAAACCGGGAGAUAGCUGGUUCUCCCCGAAAGCUAUUUAGGUAGCGCCUCGUGAAUUCAUCUCCGGGGGUAGAGCACUGUUUCGGCAAGGGGGUCAUCCCGACUUACCAACCCGAUGCAAACUGCGAAUACCGGAGAAUGUUAUCACGGGAGACACACGGCGGGUGCUAACGUCCGUCGUGAAGAGGGAAACAACCCAGACCGCCAGCUAAGGUCCCAAAGUCAUGGUUAAGUGGGAAACGAUGUGGGAAGGCCCAGACAGCCAGGAUGUUGGCUUAGAAGCAGCCAUCAUUUAAAGAAAGCGUAAUAGCUCACUGGUCGAGUCGGCCUGCGCGGAAGAUGUAACGGGGCUAAACCAUGCACCGAAGCUGCGGCAGCGACGCUGAUGCGUUGUUGGGUAGGGGAGCGUUCUGUAAGCCUGUGA
rnacentral:rRNA from 1 species